rnacentral:lncRNA from 1 species
GUGAGAGAUGUUAUUGGUUCAUUGAAGAAGAGAGAAUUAGAAUUUAUGAAGUCAAAAGAAAGACAGAAAUGCUUAUUUCUUUGUUUUCUCCUGUUGUGGCCUCAGAGCUGUUGGUUUCCUUCUGCCUCCUCCGUUUCUCCAGCCUGAAGUACAUCAAGGGUUGAUUUCCCCUGCAAAGCCAGAAAAGAGGCAAUAAUAGAUUUAAAGGGAUAUAGAGUGGUGAUACAGAUAUUUGAGUCUAGAAGCAGCAGAACUGUGGGGACUGGAUUCAUGACCAGUGUUCCAGAAUUCAUUGUUUAUGCACCAGAGAAAUUCUAUUGUUGUACCAUGAUGGCAUCCUCAACAUUUGGAACCGCUAUUGGUAUCACUGGAAGGCUGGAAUAGAAUCUUUAGAGGUAGAUGGGAUCGUGACUGAAAACUUGGCGACUUUCCCAUGACCCCCAUGCUGGAAACCCCAUGUGUUACUCCCUUCUGCUUGGUUGUGCCGCAGUAAUAAAU